rnacentral:rRNA from 1 species
AGAGUUUGAUCCUGGCUCAGAUUGAACGCUGGCGGCAUGCUUUACACAUGCAAGUCGAACGGCAGCACGAGUGCUUGCACUUGGUGGCGAGUGGCGAACGGGUGAGUAAUGCAUCGGAACGUGUCUUAAAGUGGGGGAUAACGCAUCGAAAGAUGUGCUAAUACCGCAUAUUCUCUCAGGAGGAAAGUAGGGGAUCGAAAGACCUUAUGCUUUAAGAGCGGCCGAUGUCUGAUUAGCUAGUUGGUGAGGUAAUGGCUUACCAAGGCGACGAUCAGUAGUUGGUCUGAGAGGACGACCAGCCACACUGGGACUGAGACACGGCCCAGACUCCUACGGGAGGCAGCAGUGGGGAAUUUUGGACAAUGGGCGCAAGCCUGAUCCAGCAAUGCCGCGUGAGUGAAGAAGGCCUUCGGGUUGUAAAGCUCUUUCAGUUGAGAAGAAAAAAUUGUGACUAAUAAUCACAAUUGAUGACGGUAUCAACAGAAGAAGCACCGGCUAACUACGUGCCAGCAGCCGCGGUAAUACGUAGGGUGCGAGCGUUAAUCGGAAUUACUGGGCGUAAAGGGUGCGCAGGUGGUUUUGUAAGUCAGAUGUGAAAUCCCCGGGC